UACGAAGGGGACUAGCGUUGUUCGGAAUUACUGGGCGUAAAGCGUCACGUAGGCGGAUUUGUAAGUCAGGGGUGAAAUCCCGGGGCUCAACCUCGGAACUGCCUUUGAUACUGCAAAUCUCGAGUCCGAUAGAGGUGGGUGGAAUUCCUAGUGUAGAGGUGAAAUUCGUAGAUAUUAGGAAGAACACCGGUGGCGAAGGCGGCCCACUGGA
rnacentral:rRNA from 1 species